rnacentral:rRNA from 1 species
UCCGCAGGCGGGCAAUUAAGUCAGAGGUGAAAUCCCACAGCUCAACUGUGGAACUGCCUUUGAUACUGGUUGUCUUGAGUUAUAGUGAAGUAGAUAGAAUAUGUAGUGUAGCGGUGAAAUGCAUAGAUAUUACAUAGAAUACCGAUUGCGAAGGCAGUCUACUAACUAUAUACUGACGCUGAUGGACGAAAGCGUGGGGAGCGAACAAGAUUAGAUACCCUGGUAGUCC